rnacentral:rRNA from 1 species
GAUGAACGCUGGCGGCGUGCCUAAUACAUGCAAGUCGAACGGGAGGUACUCCUUCGGGAGUGCCGAGAGUGGCGGACGGGUGAGGAACACGUAGCUGACCUGCCAUUUGCCGGGGGAUAACAUCGGGAAACCGAUGCUAAAACCGCGUAAGCUCUAAGGCAUUAGAAAACUUAGAGGAAAACUUUUGUGGCAAAUGAGGGGGCUGCGGGCCAUCAGGUAGUUGGUGAGGUAAAGGCUCACCAAGCCAACGACGGCUAGGGGACCUGAGAGGGUGACCCCCCACACUGGAACUGAGACACGGUCCAGACUCCUACGGGAGGCAGCAGUAAGGGAUAUUGCACAAUGGGCGCAAGCCUGAUGCAGCAACGCCGCGUGCAGGAAGAAGGGCUUCGGCUCGUAAACUGCUUUUCUGCGGGACGAUGAUGACGGUACCGCAGGAAGAAGUCUCGGCUAACUACGUGCCAGCAGCCGCGGUAAAACGUAGGAGGCGAGCGUUAUCCGGAUUUACUGGGCGUAAAGGGCGUGCAGGAGGCUUGCUAAGUGGUGCGUGAAAGCGCUCGGCUCAACCGGGCGAGGGCGUGCCAAACUGGCAGACUAGAAACAGGCAGAGGAAAGUGGAAUUCGGGGUGUAGUGGUGAAAUGCGUAGAGAUCCCGAGGAACUCCUGUGGCGAAGGCGACUUUCUGGGCCUGCUUUGACACUCAGACGCGAAAGCAUGGGGAGCGAACGGGAUUAGAAACCCCGGUAGUCCAUGCCGUAAACGAUGUCCACUGGGCGUUUGCCUCGCAAGAGGUGAGUGCCGCAGCCAACGCGCUAAGUGGACCGCCUGGGGAGUACGACCGCAAGGUUAAAACUCAAAGGAAUUGACGGGGGCCCGCACAAGCAGCGGAGCGUGUGGUUUAAUUCGAGGCUACACGAAGAACCUUACCCAGGUUUGACAUAGGCGUGGUAGGGAACCGAAAGGGGACCGACCUUCGGGAGCGUCUACAGGUGCUGCAUGGCUGUCGUCAGCUCGUGUCGUGAGAUGUUCGGUUAAGUCCGGUAACGAGCGCAACCCUCGCCGUCAGUUACACGUGUCUGGCGGGACUGCCCGGAGGAACUGGGAGGAAGGUGGGGAUGACGUCAAGUCAGCAUGGCCUUUAUAUCUGGGGCGACACACACGCUACAAUGGUCGGUACAAUGGGCAGCCAAGCCGUGAGGCGGAGCUAAUCCAGUCAAAACCGGCCUCAGUUCGGAUUGCAGGCUGCAACUCGCCUGCUUGAAGUCGGAGUUGCUAGUAAACGCGCAUCAGCCAUGGCGCGUUGAAUACGUUCCCGGGCCUUGUACACACCGCCCGUCACGUCAUGGGAGCUGGUCACGCCUGAAGCCGGUGGGCAAACCUUACGGAUGCAGCCAUCAAAGGCAGGGCUGGUGACUGGGACG